rnacentral:rRNA from 1 species
UCUAAUACCGGAUAUGACUCCUCAUCGCAUGGKGGGGGGUGRAAAGCUUUAUKGKGGUUUUGGAUGGRCUCGCGGCCUAUCAGCUUGUUGGUGAGGUAAYGGCUUACCAAGGCGACGACGGG